GACGAACGCUGGCGGCGUGCCUAACACAUGCAAGUCGAACGGACAGACCCUGCUCUUGUGCGGUGCUCGAGUGCCGAACGGGUGAGUAUCACGUGAGUAUCAUGUACUUGUCUUUGGGGUAAAUUCACGAAAAUGGGGCUCAUAUAGGAUAGGAGAUAUUGAUGCACGGUGGGGAUUGGAAAGUUUCGGCGGUUGGGGAUGGUAUAGAGGGUUAUCAGCUUGUUGGUGGGGUUGUGGAUUACAAAGGCUUCGAAGGGUAGGCGGCCUGAGCGCGUGACCGGCCACAAUGGGACUGAGAUAGGGCCCAGACGGCUACGGUAGGCAGCAGUGGGGAACAUUGCACAAUGGGCGGGAGCCAGAUGCAGCAACGCCGCGUGCGGGAUGACGGCCUUCGGGUUAUAAACCGCUGUCGCCUGAGACGAAGCGGUAGUGACGGUAAUGGGUAAAGAAGCACCGGCUAACUACGUG
rnacentral:rRNA from 1 species